UAAAUACUACCUGAUGACCGAUAGAGGAGCAGUACCGUGAGGGAAAGGUGAAAAGAACCCCGGGAGGGGAGUGAAAUAGUACCUGAAACCUUGUGCUUACAAGCAGUCAUAGCCCGUUAAAGGGUGUUGGCGUACUUUUUGUAGAACGGUCCGGCGAGUUAUAGUAACUGGCAAGAUUAAGGUAUUGAGUACCGAAGUCGAAGGGAAACCAAGUGUUAAGAGCGCGUUUAAGUCAGUUGCCAUAGACCCGAAACCAGGUGACCUAGCCAUGGUCAGGCUGAAGUGGAGGUAAAGCUCCAUGGAGGGCCGAACGCACGUUCGUUGCAAUGACCGGCGAUGAACUGUGGCUAGCGGUGAAAUUCCAAACGAACUUGGAGAUAGCUGGUUCUCCCCGAAAUAGUUUUAGGACUAGCGUUGAUAAUGAGUUUAACGGUGGUAAAGCACUGAAUGGGCUAGGGGGCGAUAAGCUUACUGAACCCUAUCAAACUAAGAAUGCCGUAUAAAUGCUUGUCAGCAGUCAGACUACGAGUAAUAAAAUCCGUGGUCAAAAGGGAAAUAGCCCAGACCUACAGCUAAGGUCCCUAAUAUAUGCUAAGUGGAAAACGAUGUGAGAUUGCAAAAACAACCAGGAUGUUGGCUUAGAGGCAGCCACUCGUUCAAAGAGUGCGUAAUAGCUCACUGGUCGAGUGAUCUUGCGCGGAAAAUUUAACGGGGCUAAGCAUAUAACCGAAGCUUAGGAUUCGCAGGCAACUGCGAGUGGUAGGGGAGCGUCGAAUGCGGGGUGAAGUCAUACCGUAAGGAGUGGUGGACUGCAUUCGAGUGAGAAUGCCGGAAUGAGUAGCGAGAAUUAUGUGGGAAUCAUAAUGGCCGAAAAUCUAAGGUUUCUUGGGGAAGGUUCGUCCGCCCAAGGUAAGCCGGGAGCUAAGGCGAGGCCGCAAGGCGUAGUCGAUGCACAUACGGUAGAAAUUCCGUAGCCGGUACAAUUGUUAAGCAUAGUGACACAUGAGCGCAGCACUACCGGGCGUUGGUUGCCCCGGGUGUAAACGAGUCGAAUGAGACGAAGUGUGCGAGGCUUGUGGCGAGAAAAGCUAUGUGGAUUGGUUGUACUGCCCGUACCGCAAACCGACACAGGUAGAUGAGGAGAAGAUCCUAAGGCCAUCGGGAGAAGGGUUGUUAAGGAACUAGGCAAAUUGACCCCGUAACUUCGGAAUAAGGGGUGCCUACGAAAGUAGGUCGCAGAGAAUCGGCCCAAGCAACUGUUUACCAAAAACACAGGUCUCUGCUAAAUCGAAAGAUGACGUAUAGGGGCUGACGCCUGCCCGGUGCUGGAAGGUUAAGAGGAGGACUUAGCGGAAACGCGAAGGUGCGAAUUUAAGCCCCAGUAAACGGCGGCCGUAACUAUAACGGUCCUAAGGUAGCGAAAUUCCUUGUCAGGUAAGUUCUGACCCGCACGAAAGGCGUAAUGAUUUGGGCACUGUCUCAACAGCCCGCCCGGCGAAAUUGUAGUACCGGUGAAGAUGCCGGUUACCCGCAACUAGACGGAAAGACCCCAUGGAGCUUUACUGCAGCUUAAUACUGAGAUUCGGUAAAUCAUGUACAGGAUAGGUGGGAGACUUGGAAGUCUGGUCGUCAGGCCAGAUGGAGUCAACCUUGGGAUACCACCCUUGGUUUGCUGGAUUUCUAACCUGCGGCCCUGAAUCGGGUCGGGGGACACUGUUAGGCGGGCAGUUUGACUGGGGCGGUCGCCUCCUAAAAUGUAACGGAGGCGCUCAAAGGUUGGCUCAGCAUGGAUGGAAACCAUGCAAUGAGUGUAAACGUAUAAGCCAGCCUGACUGCGAGACCGACGGGUCGAGCAGAGACGAAAGUCGGAGUUAGUGAUCCGGUGGUAUGUGAGUGGAAAUGCCAUCGCUCAACGGAUAAAA
rnacentral:rRNA from 1 species